rnacentral:rRNA from 1 species
GACGAACGCUGGCGGCGUGCUUAACACAUGCAAGUCGAGCGGUAAGGCCCUUCGGGUACGACGAGCGGCGAACGGGUGAGUAACACGUGGGUGACCUGCCUUUAGCUCUGGGAUAAGCCUGGGAAACUGGGUCUAAUACCGGAUAUGACCUCAUGACGCAUGUUGUGGGGUGGAAAGCCUUGUGCGGCUAGAGAUGGGCCCGCGGCC